rnacentral:lncRNA from 1 species
CCUGUGGAAAGUUUGUUGCUUUGCCCUGCUCCCCACGUGUUUUGUGAAAUUACAAAAUAUAUAUAUAAAAAUGAGUACUACAUUCUUUGACAAUUAUAUGGCAGCUGAAGAAGUAGGGGCAUUGAGGAAUGAAGGAUACCUCCAAAUUUUUAUAUUAAUAGGUACUGUCAUUUUUGUAAUCCUCAAUACUAUAUUUAGAGAUGAAAAAAUAAAAAAUAUUGAGGAUAAAAUAAAACAAAAUGAGGAUAAAAUAAAACAAAAUGAGGAUAAAAUAAAACAAAAUGAGGAUAAAAUAAAACAAAAUGAGGAUAAAAUAAAACAAAAUGAGGAUAAAAUAGAAAAUAUUGAGGAUAAAAUAGAAAAUGUUGAGGAUAAAAUAGAAAAAAAUGAGGAUAAAAUAGAAAAUAUUGAGGAUAAAAUAGAAAAUAUUGAGGAUAAAAUAGAAAAUAUUGAGGAUAAAAUAGAAAAAAUUGAGGAUACAAUAGAAAAAAUUGAGGAUAAAAUAGGAAAUAUUGAGAAUAAAAUAGAAAAACUUGAGGAUAAAAUAGGAAAUAUUGAGAAUAAAAUAGGAAAUAUUGAGGAUAAAAUGGGAAAUAUGGAAGAUAAAAUAGGAAAAAUUGAGGAUAAAAUGCAAGCCCAAUUAGAAGAUCUAAAAAGUUUCUUACAGGAUCAAUUGGCAAACAACCACUCUACCAGAAACAGACCUGUUUCUGAACCUUUGAAUGAGGAAAUCUCCUUCCCUGAAAUAGAGAUGGAAAACACCUUCCCUAUAGCCCAGUUAACAGACUGCUUCUCUCGUGUAGUGCAAAUCUCGUCUGAAUUUAAUCCCCAAAACCCUUCCCCUGCAAUCCCAGCUUCUCAUGUUCCUUCUCCUACAGAAAACCAAAUUCCAAUGCAAGGGAGAUCCUCGUCCUCCUAGAGAAACCUGUCCCUCGUCAAACUGACCCACAGGUGCAAAAUUCAACUAGAGGCCUGUUUCCUCUAAGAGCAGUAUCUGAAAUAGGACGGAAUGGGGAUGGGGUGACUUUAAGACAUAGGAUACCGU